CUUAGUGUGUAUAGCCAUACGAAUAGAGGAUAAUCAUAUGUCCAUAUGAGCUAUGAGGGACUCAAACCUCCCAAAAUAUAUCAAGGUGACUUAAGCACCUAGUUAUUUGACAUGGGGGACUUGAACCACCCAAUCAUAUAAUAAGGGGGACAUAAACCACUUUAGAUCCCCGCGUCGGCAAUCAUGGUUUCUAGUAUUGGUCCCUCGAGACCUCCACUUUCACCGUCCAUAUA
rnacentral:lncRNA from 1 species